rnacentral:rRNA from 1 species
UACGUAGGGUGCAGGCGUUCAUCGGAAUUACUGGGCGUAAAGCGUGCGCAGGCGGUUUCUUAAGUCCGAUGUGAAAGCCCCGGGCUUAACCUGGGAACUGCGUUUGAAACUGGGAGACUAGAGUGUGGCAGAGGGGGGUGGAAUUCCACGUGUAGCAGUGAAAUGCGUAGAUAUGUGGAGGAACACCGAUGGCGAAGGCAACCCCCUGGGUUAACACUGACGCUCAUGCACGAAAGCGUGGGGAGCAAACAGG